GAUGAACGCUGACAGAAUGCUUAACACAUGCAAGUCAUUGGCGAAGCUGCGCUUGCGCAGUCUAGCCAAGGCGGACGGGUGAGUAACGCGUAAGGAACUUGCCCUGCAGACAGGGAUAACAGACGGAAACGACUGAUAACACCUGGUAUUGUCAGGCUGGCGCAUGCCGGCCUGAUGAAAGGAGACGCUGCAGGAGAGCCUUGCGUCCUAUUAGCUAGUUGGUGGGGUAACGGCCCACCAAGGCGAUGAUAGGUAGCCGGCCUGAGAGGGUGAACGGCCACAAGGGGACUGAGAUACGGCCCUUACGCCUACGGGAGGCAGCAGUGGGGAAUAUUGGACAAUGGGGGCAACCCCUGAUCCAGCAAUUCUGUGUGCACGAAGAAGGUUUUCGGAUUGUAAAGUGCUUUCAGCAGGGAAGAAGAAAGUGACGGUACCUGCAGAAGAAGCGACGGCUAAAUACGUG
rnacentral:rRNA from 1 species